UGUGUAAGGUAGCAGGCAACGUGCUCUGUGUGGCUGUUGAAAUCUCGUCCCUGAUCUUGUUUAGUAUCGGUGAUUCCUUCAAGGUCUUCUUCUUUGCUCUUGUGUGUGUGAUGAUAGUGAUUAAUUUCACUGGAAUAGUAAUUUUGUCUCUGGGGAUCAGAAGCGGUCCUGAAAGAAGGAAGAUUUGUGAAUACGCUGCCAAUGUUUGUUUUGUUAUCCAUAAUAUAUUUACAAGUAAGAAAAUUCUUAUACUUAAUUUAAGAGUA